rnacentral:rRNA from 1 species
GACGAACGCUGGCGGCGUGCUUAACACAUGCAAGUCGAACGGAAAGGCCCUGCUUUUGUGGGGUGCUCGAGUGGCGAACGGGUGAGUAACACGUGAGUAACCUGCCCUUGACUUUGGGAUAACUUCAGGAAACUGGGGCUAAUACCGGAUAGGAGCUCCUGCUGCAUGGUGGGGGUUGGAAAGUUUCGGCGGUUGGGGAUGGACUCGCGGCUUAUCAGCUUGUUGGUGGGGUAGUGGCUCACCAAGGCUUUGACGGGUAGCCGGCCUGAGAGGGUGACCGGCCACAUUGGGACUGAGAUACGGCCCAGACUCCUACGGGGGGCAGCAGUGGGGAAUAUUGCACAAUGGGCGGAAGCCUGAUGCAGCAACGCCGCGUGCGGGAUGACGGCCUUCGGGUUGUAAACCGCUUUCGCCUGUGACGAAGCGUGAGUGACGGUAAUGGGUAAAGAAGCACCGGCUAACUACGUG